rnacentral:rRNA from 1 species
GACGAACGCUGGCGGCGUGCUUAACACAUGCAAGUCGAACGGAAAGGCCCUGCUUUUGUGGGGUGCUCGAGUGGCGAACGGGUGAGUAACACGUGAGUAACCUGCCCUUGACUUUGGGAUAACUUCAGGAAACUGGGGCUAAUACCGGAUAGGAGCUCCUGCUGCAUGGUGGGGGUUGGAAAGUUUCGGCGGUUGGGGAUGGACUCGCGGCUUAUCAGCUUGUUGGUGGGGUAGUGGCUUACCAAGGCUUUGACGGGUAGCCGGCCUGGGAGGGUGACCGGCCACAUUGGGACUGGGGUACGGCCCAGACGCAUACGGGAGGCAGGAGUGGGGAAUAUUGCACAAUGGGCGGAAGCAUGAUGCAGCAACGCCGCGUGGGGGAUGACGGCCUUCGGGUUGUAAACCGCUUUCGCCUGUGACGAAGCGUGAGUGACGGUAAUGGGUAAAGAAGCACCGGCUAACUACGU